rnacentral:rRNA from 1 species
AGUGAACGCUGGCGGUAGGCCUAACACAUGCAAGUCGAACGGCAGCACAGUAAGAGCUUGCUCUUACGGGUGGCGAGUGGCGGACGGGUGAGGAAUACAUCGGAAUCUACUUUUUCGUGGGGGAUAACGUAGGGAAACUUACGCUAAUACCGCAUACGACCUACGGGUGAAAGCAGGGGAUCUUCGGACCUUGCGCGAUUGAAUGAGCCGAUGUCGGAUUAGCUAGUUGGCGGGGUAAAGGCCCACCAAGGCGACGAUCCGUAGCUGGUCUGAGAGGAUGAUCAGCACCACUGGACCUGGACAACGUCCCAGACUCUUACGGGAGGCAGAAGUGGGGAAUAUUGGCAAAGGGGCGAAAGCCUGUCCCAGCAAAACCGGGGGGUGAAGAAGGCCUUCGGGUUGUAAAGCCCUCUUGUUGGGAAAGAAAAGCAGCAGGUUAAUACCCCGCUGUUCUGACGGUACCCAAAGAAUAAGCACCGGCUAACUUCGUG